UUGCAUCAUGAUUUACAUUUGAGUGAGUGGCGAACUGGUGAGUAACACGUGGGAAACCUGCCCAGAAGCGGGGGAUAACACCUGGAAACAGAUGCUAAUACCGCAUAACCAUUCAGACCACAUGGUCUGAAUGUAAAAGACGGCCUUUGGCUGCCACUUUUGGACGAACCCGCGGCGUAUUAGUUAGUUGGUAAGGUAACGGCUUACCAAGACAAUGAUACGUAGCCGACCUGAGAGGGUAAUCGGCCACAUUGGGACUGAGACACGGCCCAAACUCC
rnacentral:rRNA from 1 species